AGGGAGCCUGAGAAACGGCUACCACAUCCAAGGUAG
rnacentral:rRNA from 1 species